GCCAAUCUGCCAGGGUCGUUUUCCAUGUUGUGGAGGCUUUGUUCUUUGCUGUUUGCAAUAAAUCUUGCUGCUGCUCAGUGUUUGGGUCGGUGCCACCUUUGAGAACUGUAACACACAUGGCAAAGGUCCGUGGCUCUAUUCUUGAAGUCAGCCAGACCACAAAUGCACUAGAAGGAGCUAACUACAGACACAGUAGGGGCAAGAUGGAGUAGAUCUGCUGGUGGUAGAUGAAGUGGAGUUUGAAGAACGUCUUGAAACAAAAGAAUGAUGUAGAAAGUCACAAAAGGACGAAAGCCUGCAUUUUGGCUAAGUGUCUUUGUUGAAGUUGGUGGAAUGAUGCUGACACAGAAUAGAGCCAUCCUCAGCUGCCUUGCUGCAAAGUCCAUUUUACAUGGGAAGGGCCUGGUAUGCAGGGUGAUGACACCCUGAUGGUGGGGGUGCUGGCUGCAUUCUGACUGCCCCAGGAAAAAGAGGAGCAACUUGUUUUCAUUGUAAAGAAAGACAAAACCCGGGAUUGGCCUGUCUUUGAAAGGACACAGGUGCAGAUUAUUCUCCACUUGUCCCGUUAGGUUGAUCCUGCACUCUGCUGCGUGUGGGAGGCUGACAUUUCGACUGCAUCACUGGGUUUCCUUGCAUGCUGGCUUCAGGGUGGAUUCAGACAAUGGGCAUCAGCAGGAAACUGUGGGUUGGUAUAGAGAUAAAGAUGUCAGGCUGAUCUGAUCUUGCCUGACUGUGGGUCUGGCAGUGGUUGUGUUCCUCUAUGGCCACAGCUCCUGUUGGAUAGGUUUCCAUGGCUCCAGCUCUCCCCAGCCUCUGGUGAAAACACUUCCUCCUCUUGUCACUCCAAGCCAAAAUUGUCAUUGUCCUAACUGUUGCUAUGCCUGGGCAUCUCUCAGCCUUAUCAUCCCUUAUUGGAGCAUUAUUUGUACUUAUGCCUUAUAAACUGCUUUUCCAACCAAUGAUCUGCACUUGGAUGCUUUGUGGGUACCAUCUGUUUCUUGCCCAGAUCCUGAUUUAUACAGUAAUUGGAACAAGGAGUAGCCCCAGAAAUAUAUCCUCAGUAGGAGACUCCAGAAUUAGGUUGUUGACAUACCUGGUGAGUGGUCACAGGAUAUUUUUGCUGGGGGAAAGACAUGCUGGGGAUUCACCAUGUGCAGUGGGGUGCUGGAAGUGGCCAGGCCAGGGCAGCCCAGUGCACAGUAGCUGUUGUGAUAAUGGAGGGUCUGCAGUCAUGGGCCACCUGCUGCAACAGUUCCAGAGAGCUAUGACAGUUUAAUCCAAGCUUAAGAAUUGAACACCUGAUUUAAGGCACAAGAGGAAUUGUGAAGAAACCCUCACAGAGGUCACAAAGGAAUACUGUACCUCCUACAGCCAAAGCAGGUGUGGCUGAAGCGCAGGCCCAAGGCAGACAGUUGGAACCAGUCCCCUUUGUUACAGUAGAGGCCAUGAUUGAAAAGGAGUAGGCUUAAGAUGGGGACAGUUGGACAAACAGAUGAAAUCUUUGAACCUCUAUUCCUGGAAUGUCUUUGCUGCAGAACCAGCCUUGCCUCUUUGAUCAGGGAAGCCAGCGUUCCCUUCCACACUGCUUGUCACUGCAAACAAGGUGGAGCAUGUGAUGUGUCAAAGAUGGGGAAACGAAAACAAGAGUGGAGAUUAUGCUCAUCUAGCAUGAAGGGAAGGAAGGAGGCCAGUGGCAGCUUAUGCUUUUUGAUCUGAAUCAAAUGGCAGUGUAGAAAAGAAGACCCAGGAACCAAAGACACAUGUUUCUCAGAAUUGCCAGUUCAAGCAUGGAAAUUCUGGGACUAUCAACAAUGAUCAUUAUUUAUCUACAGCCAAUAUCUCCAAAAUUGUGUGUUCUCAAUAUCACCUUCUGACGCUUAGCUGUAUGUGACAUCUGCUCUCUGCAGAGCUUCACUACUCAUCUUAGGGUUUAAAGGCAUUAUCUCUGCCCUUAGAGUAGAUGGUACUAGUGGAAGAAGUGAGAUGCGGAGGUUCAGAUGUGCGGUGGAGCCAGUGGAAUGGUACCAGUGGUGAGGAAGUCUUUUCUGGCUGCCUCAGCUGGGAGUGGUUUCACUCUUCUCCAGAACUUGUGCUAGUAGCACUCAUUUUUCUUCCUAGCAUGGAAAGACGGUUUCUGCUGUCAGCAGUCAAAUCUCUCCAAUGCAAACCUCUGCUUCACAUGGAAGGCAAUAGUCUGUUAGCAGAAUGACAUCCACUUAUAAUUAAUGACGUGGAACAAAGGUUGAGCUGUGCUAAUAUGAUGUCCCAUGAAGAGUAUAAGCUGGAGUCUGAGUGUGAGUGUGUAUGUGAAUGAGUGUGGGUGUGUGAGUGUGUAUGUGAAUAAGUGUGUGUGAAUGAGUGUGAGAGUGUGUGAGUGUGUGAAUAAGUAUGUGUGUGAAUGUGUGAUGGUUUGUGUUUCUAUGAGCAUGUGAGUGUGAAUGUGUGUGAGUGGAGUGUGUAUUAGUGUGUGUGAUGUGUGUGAGCAGAGUGUGUUUCUGAGUGUAUGAGGGUGUGUGUAUCUGAAUGUCAGUGUGUGUGUAAGAGGGUUUGUGUGUGUGACUGCAUGUGUGUGAAUGUGAGUGUGAGCAUGUGUGUGUGGAGUGUGUGUCUCAGUGUGAGUGUGUGAGUGGGUGCGUGGUUGGGAGUGUGUGGGAGUCUGUAUGUGUGCGUGAGUGUGUGUUAGUGCGUGUGUUAGUGUGUGUAUGUGUUUGCAUCCACAGAUAAACAGAAUACUCAACAAUAUGGAAAAUGUAGUUACGUCUGACUGAUGGUUUUUGAGAGUGAGUUUUACACAAUUCCUUAGUUUUCUUAGCAGCAGCAUGAAUUUGCCACCUGAGAUUGUGCUAUCUUUAUAUCACAACAAGCGAUUAAUGUUACUUUCACUUUGAAAAUAAAAAGAAGAAACCUGCGUCUUUCCCAUGCUGGGUUUCUGCAGCUGUGUGCCACCUGGCGAUGCCUCAGAGGCUGCCGGCCGCAGGAGGCCACCCCAGCUGCUCUGUGCAGAAGGCAGGGACACAAAACAAGACUGCAGACACUCGCUGCUUCUCCAACGAGGAGGUGGUUGGUAUUGUGUCCGACGGGUAGACAGUCC
rnacentral:lncRNA from 1 species